CUUGCCAGAUCCGCAAUUGGAUUCAAGUAGGAUAAUCUUUUAAAGCUUACUGACACUCGUGCUUCUAACAAUAAGAUGACACUGAUGCACUAUCUUUGCAAGGUUCUAGCUGAUAGGUCGCCUGGACUGCUUGACUUCCACUUAGACCUUGUAAGCCUGGAAGCUGCGACUAAGGAUAAUAUUGAGGAUGAUGAUAAUGAAGAUUAAGUUGAUUAUUAUUGUGGUUUAUUGGCUAAGAUAGAGUAGUGUUGGGAAUGGAUACAUGUAUAGUUGACUAAUGACUUUUAUUAAAAGAUACUUAUGUAGGAUAAAAUAUUUUAGUUUUUUAUAGAGUAUUAGUAGUAAAUUCUAAGUGAUAUCAUAGUUAUUUUGAUAUGGCUAUGUUUAUUUUA